AGCAAUUCUCCUACCUCAGCCUCCCGAGUAGCUGGGAUUACAGGUGCUGCCAUGGCCACGACUGAUGUUACACUCGAGCUGAGGAGGCCGGCUGCAGCCCCAAGACAGAGCGCUACUCCUGGCAGUGCGUCAAUCAGAGCGUCCUGUGCGGAUCUUCUUCACUCUGGAGGUGCCACCCAUGAGAACAAAGAGCUCUGGAGAGAUGUGGAUUCCUGAAGAGCUGCAGGGGAACUGGGAGAGGGUUUUCUGACAGAACAAUCUCACCUCAAGAAGUCACUUAGGCAUGGCUGUAAUAUUUCUUUUCACUCCCAGGUAAUACCAAAUUGUAAGUGCACUAGGACAUAAAGAAUACUUUUGUCCAUGGAAAAAUGAGGUGGGAAUUCUAAACAAAGCAAGUUUUAAAACUGUGUUUCACUUCAAGUGUACAAGUCCCAUCACGUGUAAUCAUAGGACUCGGCAGCUUUUGA
rnacentral:lncRNA from 1 species